rnacentral:rRNA from 1 species
UACGUAGGGGGCAAGCGUUGUCCGGAUUUAUUGGGCGUAAAGAGCGUGUAGGCGGUCUGGUAGGUCCGCUGUGAAAACUCGAGGCUCAACCUCGAGACGCCGGUGGAAACCAUCAGACUAGAGUCCGGAAGAGGAGAGUGGAAUUCCUGGUGUAGCGGUGAAAUGCGCAGAUAUCAGGAAGAACACCGAUGGCGAAGGCAGUUCUCUGGGACGGUACUGACGCUGAGACGCGAAAGCGUGGGGAGCGAACAGG